AGAGCGAACGCUGGCGGCAGGCCUAACACAUGCAAGUCGAGCGCCCCGCAAGGGGAGCGGCAGACGGGAGAGUAACACGUGGGAACGUGCCCUUUGGUUCGGAACAACACAGGGAAACUUGUGCUAAUACCGGAUAAGCCCUUACGGGGAAAGAUUUAUCGCCGAAAGGAUUGGCCCGCGUCUGAUUAGCUAGUUGGUGAGGUAACGGCUCACCAAGGCGACGAUCAGUAGCUGGUCUGAGAGGAUGAUCAGCCACAUUGGGACUGAGACACGGCCCAAACUCCUACGGGAGGCAGCAGUGGGGAAUAUGGACAAUGGGCGCAAGCCUGAUCCAGCCAUGCCGCGUGAGUGAUGAAGGCCCUAGGGUUGUAAAGCUCUUUUGUGCGGGAAGAUAAUGACGGUACCGCAAGAAUAAGCCCCGGCUAACUUCGUGCCAGCAGCCGC
rnacentral:rRNA from 1 species